rnacentral:rRNA from 1 species
CGCGUAGGCGGCUGAUUUAGUCGAGGGUGAAAGCCCGUGGCUCAACCACGGAAUGGCCUUCGAUACUGAUUGGCUUGAGACCGGAAGAGGACAGCGGAACUGCGAGUGUAGAGGUGAAAUUCGUAGAUAUUCGCAAGAACACCAGUGGCGAAGGCGGCUGUCUGGUCCGGUUCUGACGCUGAGGCGCGAAAGCGUGGGGAGCAAACA